GAAACGGGUUAAUAUUCCCGUACUUGGUGUUACUGCGAAGGGGGGACGGAGAAGGCUAUGUUGGCCGGGCGACGGUUGUCCCGGUUUAAGCGUGUAGGCUGGUUUUCCAGGCAAAUCCGGAAAAUCAAGGCUGAGGCGUGAUGACGAGGCACUACGGUGCUGAAGCAACAAAUGCCCUGCUUCCAGGAAAAGCCUCUAAGCAUCAGGUAACAUCAAAUCGUACCCCAAACCGACACAGGUGGUCAGGUAGAGAAUACCAAGGCGCUUGAGAGAACUCGGGUGAAGGAACUAGGCAAAAUGGUGCCGUAACUUCGGGAGAAGGCACGCUGACACGUAGGUGAAGUGAUUUACUCAUGGAGCUGAAGUCAGUCGAAGAUACCAGCUGGCUGCAACUGUUUAUUAAAAACACAGCACUGUGCAAACACGAAAGUGGACGUAUACGGUGUGACGCCUGCCCGGUGCCGGAAGGUUAAUUGAUGGGGUCAGCGCAAGCGAAGCUCCUGAUCGAAGCCCCGGUAAACGGCGGCCGUAACUAUAACGGUCCUAAGGUAGCGAAAUUCCUUGUCGGGUAAGUUCCGACCUGCACGAAUGGCGUAAUGAUGGCCAGGCUGUCUCCACCCGAGACUCAGUGAAAUUGAACUCGCUGUGAAGAUGCAGUGUACCCGCGGCAAGACGGAAAGACCCCGUGAACCUUUACUAUAGCUUGACACUGAACAUUGAGCCUUGAUGUGUAGGAUAGGUGGGAGGCUUUGAAGUGUGGACGCCAGUCUGCAUGGAGCCGACCUUGAAAUACCACCCUUUAAUGUUUGAUGUUCUAACGUGGACCCGUUACCCGGGUUGCGGACAGUGUCUGGUGGGUAGUUUGACUGGGGCGGUCUCCUCCUAAAGAGUAACGGAGGAGCACGAAGGUUGGCUAAUCCUGGUCGGACAUCAGGAGGUUAGUGCAAUGGCAUAAGCCAGCUUGACUGCGAGCGUGACGGCGCGAGCAGGUGCGAAAGCAGGUCAUAGUGAUCCGGUGGUUCUGAAUGGAAGGGCCAUCGCUCAACGGAUAAAAGGUACUCCGGGGAUAACAGGCUGAUACCGCCCAAGAGUUCAUAUCGACGGCGGUGUUUGGCACCUCGAUGUCGGCUCAUCACAUCCUGGGGCUGAAGUAGGUCCCAAGGGUAUGGCUGUUCGCCAUUUAAAGUGGUACGCGAGCUGGGUUUAGAACGUCGUGAGACAGUUCGGUCCCUAUCUGCCGUGGGCGCUGGAGAACUGAGGGGGGCUGCUCCUAGUACGAGAGGACCGGAGUGGACGCAUCACUGGUGUUCGGGUUGUCAUGCCAAUGGCACUGCCCGGUAGCUAAAUGCGGAAGAGAUAAGUGCUGAAAGCAUCUAAGCACGAAACUUGCCCCGAG
rnacentral:rRNA from 1 species